rnacentral:rRNA from 1 species
AUACGUAGGGAGCGAGCGUUGUCCGGAAUUACUGGGCGUAAAGGGCGCGUAGGCGGCGCUUCAAGUCGUCUGUCAAAUGGAAGGGCUUAACCCCUUUUCGCAGACGAAACUGGAGAGCUUGAGAAGCAGAGAGGCAAACAGAAUUCCUGGUGUAGCGGUGAAAUGCGUAGAUAUCAGGAAGAAUACCAGUGGCGAAGGCGGUUUGCUGGCUGCAUACUGACGCUGAAGCGCGAAAGCCAGGGGAGCGAACGGGAUUAGAUACCCCGGUAGUCCUGGCAGUAAACGAUGUAUGCUGGGUGUGAGACUAGCGAUAGUUUCGUGCCGAAGUUAACGCGAUAAGCAUACCGCCUGGGGAGUACGGUCGCAAGAUUGAAACUCAAAGGAAUUGACGGGG